rnacentral:lncRNA from 1 species
GAGGAGUAGGCAAAGUUGGGUGAACCUCGUAAAUUCUGAUGUUCCUUUUAUUGUUGCUUUAUUGUCUUAUUUAUUAUUUAGUAGCCGCCGUAAUUUUUGAUAUAGAUAUUAUGACUCAUUCACAUUAUAUACAUAUAGCUUACGCAACAACUCGAACUUAGAACCUCUUGGUUGUAAGUGGAAGGUGUUCACCAAUCCACUCUUAUCUUCUCAUAUACUGGUACUACUUUUUUCAAAAAUCGGAAAUCCUAACUCAUCUUUUGAGCCUAAUGAUGAUUAGCGAAACUUUUUAGUUUCGAACUGUAAUUCAUGACCAUUGCGCGAUGGGAUGAAUGAGAAAAAAUAUUUAUCUAUUUA